CCUACGGGAGGCAGCAGUGAGGAAUAUUGGUCAAUGGACGAAAGUCUGAACCAGCCAAGUAGCGUGAAGGAUGACUGCCCUAUGGGUUGUAAACUUCUUUUAUAUGGGAAUAAACUGUUCCACGUGUGGGUUUUUGUAUGUACCCUAUGAAUAAGGAUCGUCUAACUCCGUGCCAGCAGCCGCGGUAAUACGGAGGGUCCGGGCGUUAUCCGGAUUUGUUGGGUUUAAAGGGAGCGUAGGUGGAUGGUUAAGUCAGUUGUGAAAGCUUGCGGCUCAACCGUAAAACUGCAGUUGAAACUGGCAGUCUUGAGUACAGUAGAGGUGGGCGGAAUUCGUGGUGUAGCGGUGAAAUGCUUAGAUAUCACGAAGAACGCCGAUUGCGAAGGCAGCUCACUGGACCGUAACUGACACUGAGGCUCGAAAGUGUGGGUAUCAAACAGGAUUAGAUACCCCAGUAGUC
rnacentral:rRNA from 1 species